GGUUGGGCACUGCCAGGGGUCAUCGUGUCGGUACAGCCCUCACAACCCGAUCCAUCAGAGUUGCCUCUUGAGACAUUGUCCCUUCUGCUAGAUAGCUGCUCUCCUAGAACACGGGUCUCCCUUAUUCAUCAGCGUAUCCCAGCACCUGGGACAGUGCCGAAUUGUUUGAUGACUUACCGAGUACCUACUUAAUUCUAGGAAACUUCUAGGUAAGAGAGCUAUAAAAACGAUAAUAAUAGUCACUUUGACUUUUAGAGUCCCAUGCUGAGAUGAAUCUGAAAACAGAUAACUAUAGCAACACGAUAAGGCCAUUUAACCUCCUUAAAUCCCAGUUUCCUCAUCUAUAACAUGGGCUUAAUAGAACCUUUGGGGCUGUUGCUGGAAGAGAUAAUAAAGGAAAAACAACACAGUGACAGACACAUAGGAAAAGCUCAAUGCUUGGCAGAUGAUGAUGACAAGGACAAGGCUGACCAUGAUGAUGGAGGUGGUAGCUAUGACAACAGUGUCUUAGAAGUGCUGGAAUAUAGAAGGACAGCCCUUAAACAGGUAACGGAAGCUCCAUAGUAAGCACCAUGAUGGAAGAUUGAAUAGGAUGCUUUAGGGCAUGGAGUUCGAGGAAAUGACUAAUUUUUCCUGGAGAAAUAGGAGACAGCUUCUAGGAGAAAGUAAUCUUUAAGCUAAUACUAGAAGGAUACAUAUGAGUUUCCCUGCCAGACAAAUGAUAGGGAGAUUGUUUACUGAUGGAGCCUUUGUUUUUUUUAUAAAGCAGUGGUUCUCAACCAUCUCUCAAGAUGUCUCUGGAGACAUCUUGGGUUGUCUUAACUGGGAUGGGGGUCUGCUAGUAUCUAGUCACUAGAAGCCGUGGUGCUUCUAAACAUCUCCAGUGCACAACCCAGCUCACCGCGACAACAAAGAACUUUCCAGCCAAAAAUGCCAGCAGACCUGAGGGCAGAAUUGUCACCUCCCUGGACAACACCUCAUUGCAUGAAACAACACUGGCACCCAGUGGACGCCUGGCUGAAAACGUUUGCAAGUUCCUCUCAUCCUUGUCAAUGGGAAAUGAUCAUCUAUUGGUGCUAUAACAGUCAACGACACUCAGAAAAUAACUUAACUGGGCACCUGUUUGGACCAGACACCAUGUAAGGUCCUGGGUCUUUAUGGAUGAACACACAGACCUGGUUCCUACUUCCAUGGUUCUACUAGCCUAGCGAGGGGAGAGUCGUGGAUUCAACAGACAACCAACCAGAUGAGAAGACUUAAAGAGGAUGAGUAACUUGUCUGAGG